rnacentral:rRNA from 1 species
UGUCGAGUAUCCGUGCCAGGAUCUUAGUGAAGGAUUUAUCAAGGGACAAUUCAAGAACUCGAUCGCAUUUUCAUGGUAGGGUGGGUACAGAAGAGAGGGACAAUCAACACCUAGGUUCUCUCUAAAUAUAAAUGGUUCAGUAGGGCUUUUAUUUGGCGUGUCGGCGCUAUCAGUAUUUCAGUUUACUUUGUUUUUGUAUAAUCACUUAUAGUUUCCCGUAAAGUGCACCAUUUGUUUGUAGUGGAGUACGAUAGUACAAUUAGGUGAGGAAGAACCCCGACCAUCCGGCGAGCUAGACCCGAGCCUAGGAAGAGUGCACACGACCAACCCUAUUUGUACGCCGUCCUUGAGUUCAGUCAUAGUCAUCUGCUGAUAUCAAGGGCCUAUCUAUCUGUUUACAUAUAUAUAUUUAAACUCUGGUACACUACACAGUUUGGGGGCAUUAGUAUUACGACGCGAGAGGUGAAAUUCUUGGACCGUCGUAAGACUAACUUAAGCGAAAGCAUUUGCCAAAGAUGUUUUCAUUAAUCAAGAACGAAAGUUAGAGGUUCGAAGGCGAUCAGAUACCGCCCUAGUUCUAACCAUAAACGAUGCCAGCUAGCAAUUGGGUGUAGCUACUUUUAUGGCUCUCUCAGUCGCUUCCCGGGAAACCAAAGCUUUUGGGCUCCGGGGGAAGUAUGGUUGCAAAGCUGAAACUUAAAGGAAUUGACGGAAGGGCACCACCAGGAGUUUAGCCUGCGGCUUAAUUUGACUCAACACGGGAAAACUUACCAGGUCCGAACAUAAGUGUGUAAGACAGAUUGAUAGCUCUUUCUCGAACCUAUGGGUGGUGGUGCAUGGCCGUUCUUAGUUCGUGGAGUGAUUUGUCUGGUUAAUUCCGAUAAUGAACGAGACUCAAAUAUAUUAAAUAGAUAUCUUCAGGAUUAUGGUGUUGAAGCUUAUAUAGCCUUCAUUUAUGGUGGCAGUAAAAUGUUUAUUGUGUUUUAAUGUGUUUAUAUAAGUGGAGCCGUACCUGUUGGUUUGUCCCAUUAUAAGGACACUAGCUUCUUAAAUGGACAAAUUGCGUCUAGCAAUAAUGAGAUUGAGCAAUAACAGGUCUGUGAUGCCCUUAGAUGUCCUGGGCUGCACGCGCGCUACAAUGAAAGUAUCAACGUGUAUUUCCUAUACCGAGAGGUCUACCGCUGAACCACUUUCAUGCUCGGGAUUGUGAACUGAAACUGUUCACAUGAUCUUGGAAUUCCCAGUAAGUGUGAGUCAUUAACUCGCAUUGAUUACGUCCCUGCCGUUUGUACACACCGCCCGUCGCUACUACCGAUUGAAUUAUUUAGUGAGGUCUCCGGACGUGAUCACUGUGACGCCUUGCGUGUUAUUGUUGUUUUGCAAAAGUUGACCGAACUUGAUUAUUUAGAGGAAGUAAAAGUCGUAACAAGGUUUCCUUAGGUGAACCUGCGGAAG